rnacentral:rRNA from 1 species
GACAGAGGGUGCGAACGUUGCUCGGAAUUACUGGGCGUAAAGCGCGUGCAGGCGGUCUCCCACGUCCGGUGUGAAAGCCCGGGGCUCAACCCCGGAAGCGCGCUGGAAACGAGGGGACUGGAGGGCUGGAGAGGCGGGCGGAAUUCCCGGUGUAGAGGUGAAAUUCGUAGAUAUCGGGAGGAACACCGGUGGCGAAGGCGGCCCGCUGGACAGCGCCUGACGCUGAGACGCGAAAGCGUGGGUAGCAAACAGG